GACGAACGCUGGCGGCGUGCUUAACACAUGCAAGUCGAACGGAAAGGCCCUGCUUUUGUGGGGUGCUCGAGUGGCGAACGGGUGAGUAACACGAGAGUAACCUGCCCUUGACUUUGGGAUAACUUCAGGAAACUGGGGCGAAUACCGGAUAGGAUCUCCUGCUGCAUGGGGGGGGUUGGAAAGGUUCGGCGGUUGGGGAUGGAUGCGCGGCUUAUCAGGUUGUUGGUGGGGUAGUGGCUUACCAAGGCUUUGACGGGUAGCCGGCCUGAGCGGGUGACCGGCCACAUUGGGACUGAGAUACGGCCCAGACUCCUACGGGAGGCAGCAGUGGGGAAUAUUGCACAAUGGGCGGAAGCCUGAUGCAGCAACGCCGCGUGCGGGAUGACGGCCUUCGGGUUGUAAACCGCUUUCGCCUGUGACGAAGCGUGAGUGACGGUAAUGGGUAAAGAAGCACCGGCUAACUACGUG
rnacentral:rRNA from 1 species